rnacentral:tRNA from 1 species
CCGUCGAUAGCUCAGUUGGCAGAGCAGUGGACUGUAGAUCCAUAGGUCGCUGGUUCGACUCCGGCUCGACGGA